rnacentral:rRNA from 1 species
UACAGAGGGUGCAAGCGUUAGUCGGAAUUACUGGGCGUAAAGCGCGCGUAGGUGGUUUGUUAAGUUGAAUGUGAAAUCCCCGGGCUCAACCUGGGAACUGCAUCCAAAACUGGCAAGCUAGAGUAGGGCAGAGGGUGGUGGAAUUUCCUGUGUAGCGGUGAAAUGCGUAGAUAUAGGAAGGAACACCAGUGGCGAAGGCGACCACCUGGGCUCAUACUGACACUGAGGUGCGAAAGCGUGGGGAGCAAACA